rnacentral:tRNA from 1 species
GCGUAGGUAGCUCAGGGGUAGAGCUUCUGGUUGAAGCCCAGAGAGUCGGUGGUUCAAUUCCAUCUCUACGCA